GGAAUAUGAAGGGAGAAUGAAACAAAACUGCUCCGCUCAGGGAACUUGGAAAGGAAAUUGAAAAGGCAAGGCACAGGCUGGAAGAAAAUAUUUGAAAAAGAUUUAUGUGAACUUCUUUCUGGAUUAUACAAAAUAUUUUUAGAUAUUCUUACAACUCUAAAAUAAGAUAACUCCUUAAAAAUGUGAAUUCUACCAAAGGAGAGAUGAAGAUGACGAAUAUAUUCAAAGAUGCUGAAAAUCACUUAUUUAUUAUUAGGAAGUUACAAGCUAAAGCAUAAUGAGAUACCACUACAACCUACUAAACUGACUAAAAUUAAUCAGACUAACCAGGUGUUGGCAAGAAACAGGGACACUGAGACUCUCACACUGCUGGAAGGAAUGUAAAAUGCUAAAACUUCUUUGGAAAUGAGUUCAGUAACUUUUUAAACAGUUGAAAAUAGACCUAUCAUGCAAACCAGCAAUCCCACUUCUAGGUAUUUAUACAAGGAAAAUGACAACAUAUGCCCACAUAAAGACUUGUGCACAAAUGACGGUAGCAGCUUUGUGAUAAUUGCUAAAAACUAGAAACUUGUCAAGUGUCCAACAGUUGACAUGCAGGCUGGACAUACAGUGGGCCUCGAUUGCUUAGAAGCCAAACUGAACUCACCAAGAAAAGAAGACAGGAGAAACUUCUCAAGAGGAAUAUCUCCAAAUUGCAGGAUCGAAUACCAUAAGAGGAAUUCUGGACUGAAGAGUUAUGAAGUCAUUUCAGACACUUCCAGACAAUUUGUGUUAAUUAAAUUCUCACUGGUUGAGUUCCAUUCUACACUGGAAGAGCAUUUUUCCUGGAAAGGCUCCUCAAAAUGGACACCAACAAGAGUCACCUCCUCAGUGAAGCCUUCCGUGGUUUCAUACCACCCAUCCCUAUCGGAAUGAAUGUAUCCUUGUUCUCCGUUAUCCCAGUAUUUUGCCUGGGCUUCUGUCACACUACUUUCAAUGUCUAUACCUCAGUUAUCGAAUCGAAAAACAAGAGUCAUCAGUCUCUAAGGUCCUUGCAAGCUUCAAAACUUUAUAUUUUUGUCAAUUACAACUGAAUAAAGCUGAAAAACUUCUUAUUUAUG
rnacentral:antisense_RNA from 1 species